rnacentral:rRNA from 1 species
CCUACGGGAGGCAGCAGUAAGGAAUAUUGGUCAAUGGGCGCAAGCCUGAACCAGCCAUCCAGCGUGCAGGAAGAAGGCCCUACGGGUUGUAAACUGCUUUUGUCAGGGAAGAAACCUUUGGAUUUACUCCGAAGCUGACGGUACCUGAAGAAUAAGCACCGGCUAACUCCGUGCCAGCAGCCGCGGUAAUACGGAGGGUGCGAGCGUUAUCCGGAAUUACUGGGUUUAAAGGGUGCGUAGGCGGCUAUGUAAGUCAGGAGUGAAAGUUUGCGGCUCAACCGUAAAAUUGCUUUUGAUACUGCAUGGCUAGAAUCAGGAUGAGGUUAGCGGAAUGUGGCAUGUAGCGGUGAAAUGCAUAGAUAUGCCAUAGAACACCAAUUGCGAAGGCAGCUGGCUAGACCUGCAUUGACGCUGAGGCACGAAAGCGUGGGGAGCGAACAGGAUUAGAUACCCUGGUAGUCCACGCCCUAAACGAUGCUUACUCGACGUAUGGUCCUUGAGGUUGUGCGUCCAAGGGAAACCGUUAAGUAAGCCACCUGGGGAGUACGACCGCAAGGUUGAAACUCAAAGGAAUUGACGG